rnacentral:lncRNA from 1 species
GGAGAACUGAUCUACGCUCUAACUUAACCAAGAUAAGUAAAUAAGUGUAAAUAGGAAAGAUGGUAGAAUCGAAUAAGAACAAUAUUAAAGGUAAGAUAACAGUGAGUGAUAAUAUGGGAAUAGAGAGUAGAGCAAUCUAGUAUAUGGGCGAUGGUAGCAGAAUAGAGAGGAUAACUAUGGUUUCUCUACUUCAAAGGGGUA